CUCGUCCCACUUUGAAAAAAACGACCAAAACAUGGAAAAUAUUCAAAUGUUUGUUAAACAUUGGUGCGUUUUUAUAACCAGUGAUAACAGUGUUGUGUUUAUGGUGAGAUAAGGAGCUGAUAAGCGUGACGCAACAUCAAAGAAGCCGCUUUUUCACGCACUGCUUUCACGGAUGACUCACAGUUUUCCUUUGACUGGAGGUCCCCUAAUUUCACCUAUUUUUUGCGCUAAUGACAAGUGCAUUAUAAUAAUAUAAAAACUAUGAAAACAAAUCAACAGAAAUUCGCUAAUAAGUCAACAAAAAAGUUACAACAUCAACAAAUGCCGAUUAAAUACUAGAUAACAAAAUAGGAAUCACAAUUAUUCAGACUAGAAUA